rnacentral:rRNA from 1 species
AGAUUAGAGUUUGAUCCUGGCUCAGCAUCUAAAGAAGUCGUAACAAGGUAGCCGUAGAGUUUGAUCAUGGCUCAGGUAGAGAAAUGCCGCCAGCACGACGACCAGCACGAACAAAAGUCGUAACAAGGUAACCGUAAGUCGUAACAAGGUAACCGUGGAGUUUGAUCAUGGCUCAGGAAAGUCGUAACAAGGUAACCGUAUGUCGUAUCAAGGUAACCGUAUGUCGUAACAGGGUACCGUAGAGUUUGAUCAUGGCUCAGCCUUUGACUUAAAAAAAUGGAGAAGUCGUAACAAGAUAACCGUAGAGUUUGAUCAUGGCUCAGGAAAGUCGUAACAAGGUAACCGUAGAGUUUGAUCACGGCUCAGGAAA